CAAGGCUUGACAUAUACGAGAACGCUGCAGAAAUGUAGAACUCUUUGGACACUCGUAAACAGGUGGUGCAUGGUUGUCGUCAGCUCGUGUCGUGAGAUGUUGGGUUAAGUCCCGCAACGAGCGCAACCCUCGUUCUAUGUUGCCAGCACGUAAUGGUGGGAACUCACGGGAUACUGCCGGGGUCAACUCGGAGGAAGGUGGGGAUGACGUCAAAUCAUCAUGCCCCUUAUGUCUUGGGCUUCACGCAUGCUACAAUGGCCGGUACAAAGGGCUGCAAUACCGUGAGGUGGAGCGAAUCCCAAAAAGCCGGUCCCAGUUCGGAUUGAGGUCUGCAACUCGACCUCAUGAAGUCGGAGUCGCUAGUAAUCGCAGAUCAGCAACGCUGCGGUGAAUACGUUCCC
rnacentral:rRNA from 1 species